AUGCUCUCACUUCAGCAGCACAUACACUAAAAUUAAACUAUAUAAAGGAGAUAAUGAUGGCCCCUGCACAAGAAUGUCACACAAAUUCAUGAAGUGUUCCAUAUUUUG